UGGGGAAUUUUGUGCAAUGGGCGAAAGCCUGACACAGCGACACCGCGUGAGCGAAGAAGCCCUUUGGGGUGUAAAGCUCUGUCAACGGGGACGAAUAAAUGACGGUACCCGUGGAGGAAGCAUCGGCUAACUACGUGCCAGCAGCCGCGGUAAGACGUAGGAUGCAAGCGUUGUCCGGAUUUAUUGGGCGUAAAGAGUUCGUAGGCGGUUUGUUAAGUCUGAUGUUAAAGAUCGGGGCUCAACCUCGGGACUGCAUUGGAUACUGGCAGACUGGAGUGCGGUAGAGGCUAGUGGAAUUCCCAGUGUAGCGGUGAAAUGCGUAGAUAUUGGGAAGAACACCGGUGGCGUAGGCGACUAGCUGGGCCGUAACUGACGCUGAGGAACGAAAGCCAGGGGAGCGAAUGGGAUUAGAUACCCCCGUAGUCC
rnacentral:rRNA from 1 species